AAGUCGUAACAAGGUUUCCGUAGGUGAACCUGCGGAAGGAUCAUUAAUGAAAUGAAGUUUUUUGAGGUUUUUAAUCUCAAAAAAUAAUUCACCUUUUGUGCACUGUUAUUCAAUAUACUUUGGUUAGAGCUUUGAUUUCAUUUAUUGGAAUCAACUUCUUGCUAACUCUAUCCUGUUAAGGACAGUUGGCUAUGAAGCGGCCUACCAAGGUUUUUUAUCAAACACAUUUAAUUCAUCUGACCUAAAAUAUUAUAAUUAAAUCAUAACUUUCAACAACGGAUCUCUUGGCUCUC
rnacentral:misc_RNA from 1 species